CCCAAAACAUUGUGUUCUUCUUUGAAAGUAUUUCCAGCAAGAAAAAAGCAGAGUGCCUUGAAUACAUAGUUUAAGAAGCAGUGCAAGCAUCUGGCGACAUGCACUGCUUGCCAGACUUGGGGUUGUGCUUUGCUUGCUGAUGGGAAGAUGUGCCAGUUUUUGAUGACUUAUAUCGUACACAGCUGGAAACCUACAAAUAAGUAAGACCUUGCAUGUUGUGAAGUCCAGAAAGAGUUGAGAAAAAAUUUUGCCUUUUUCUCUCCCUUCAUCCAAACUGUAAAAAUAUUAAAUAAAAGAGAAUACUUGGAGUUUAAAUAGAGAAAAGCUAACUUCGGAUGUCUCAGGGAAACCUGCUUCAGGGCAGGAGCAUUCUGGCAGUUGAGACAUUCUGGCAGUUGUUGGUGUUUUUCCUCUCCUCCCCUCCCUCAAGUUUUUCAUACUCAUACUUGCCAGCUUUAUUAAUAUGAUUUUGAUUAUGUGGCAUCUGUUUUGGACAGAGCCAAUAGGAUUGGAACCUCUACUUUAGUCCAUCAGUCUGAGAGGACUUAAAAAAAAUUAGGAAAUUAACCCAGAAAGACCUCUGGAAAAGAGAGUAUUGCGCUUCAAGUCAGUUUGAGCUGCAGGGAACCCUGGGACAUCUUGACUGGAGGAGGCUGUGCCAGCAAAGUGGUGCUCCUCGGGCAUGCAGGGCCUCUUCCAGAGGCCAUGACAGUGGGACUCCUCUUGUUCUCUGUCUACAUUGGGACUUUGGGAACCAAGAUGAACAUUUUGAUGCCACUGCUUUGCAGCAGAUACCAAACAUCAAAUGCAAGAGAUGGAUUGAUUGAAAGAAAAAGAUUUGCACUCUGAUCUGCAUGUACUGACAGAAAAAUCGCCAGAGUAACAGUAAACCUCCAGAUGGAAAUGAGCAAGAGGAACAUGCCUUCAGCAGAGGAGCAGAACUGGAAUACAAAAGCUACGGUGUGAGAUGCCUAAGGUCCUAAAGCUCACACACUCGAUUCCAGAGCUGGCAGCAGUGCCCAGGCAGAGGACUGUGGAAAGGUGGGCACUGGUGAGCACAGCAGGCUUCCAAGAAGAGAAAAGCAGGAGUACCCAAGACCAGGUAGGAAAGUUCAGGUGGAGGUGAUGGCACUUGGAUUUAAACAAAGGCAGUUGGACUACGAAACACAUGAGCCCCUUUUCUGGAGGUCCGUUCUGCCCCCUCCAGUGACUCAGCCCACACUCCUGGUGGCUUUUCUACCAACCCCUGAAGCUGUAAAAUAGCACGAGACUCAAUGACUCCGAGAUG